rfam:Hordeum vulgare subsp. vulgare, WGS project CAJW01000000 data, contig: morex_contig_135093
AAUCAAAUCCCUCCGUCCGGAAAUAUUUGUCCCAGAGAUGAAUGUAUCUAGACUUAUUUUAGUUAUAGAUACAUUCAUUAUGUUCAAUUUUAAGACAAGUAUUUUCGGACGGAGGUAGUAACAU